rnacentral:misc_RNA from 1 species
GGAAAAAACAAACUUCAGAUCUGCUGCCCUGUGGAAGGAUUGGCAUUGAUAUGAAAUCCCAAACAGUAUCAGCAUAAAGGGUAGCCCAGAUGAAGGAGAUGUGUCCAUGUAGAUGUGUCUUGGUUAGAAUCUGAAAAGAUGAUUAUAUUCUCCUCAUGAAUCGUAAAUCCGCAAAGAACUACGGAUUUGCUGGCGGCAGACGGGACAUUUGGGAGCUGAAUCGCGUUCAACUGAGACGGCACAACGUUCGCAGCAAACAAAAUGACCACAUGGAAUGAAAGCAGAUCGCUUUCUCCUCAUGAGACAGAUCACGCACAACU